GCACUAAUGGGGUAGUGGUAACCUCAAAGUUUCCCAUGCGGAAUACUGCUUACUUUGGCCCCGUGUUCGAUUCACGGUUAGUGCA